UUCCUGUGAUGGAAGUAGUGUUUAUGCUAGAUCUAAUAAAUCUAGGCAAUGAAGAUUGACGACUAGUGCAACAGAGACGAGCUUAUUAAAUUAAGUAUGCAACGAUGUAAACUCCAUAAGCU
rnacentral:RNase_P_RNA from 1 species